AUAGCAAGUCAGUCUAUCGCCGCUUAAUUGAGGAGGAAAGUCCGGGCAAUACAGGGCGCCAUGCUUCCUAACGGGAAGAUACUCGUGAGGGUAUAGUAAUGCAACAGAAAACAACCGCCUAACUACGGUUCGGUAAGGGUGAAAAGGUGGGGUAAGAGCCCACCGGUACUUGUGGUAACACAGGUAGCCGUGCAACUAAUGGAUUGCAAGACCAAAUAUAUCACAAUUUCGGAAGAUACAGGGUGGUCCGCCUUGGUGCGAAAGCAAUUGUGAGGGGUAGGUUGCUUUAGCUUAUUAGCAAUAAUAAGCAUAGACAAAUGAUAGACCGCUCAUGUAUGAGUGACAGAACCCGGCUUAUCGACUUGCUAUUUUU
rnacentral:RNase_P_RNA from 1 species